GACGGCGGAGGAAAGCGUUAUACGGAAUUAUUGGGCGGAAAGGGUACGUAGGCGGCUGGUCAAGUCUGGGGUCAAAGGCCCCAGCUCAACUGUGGGAAGGCCCUGGAAACUGACCGGCUAGAGUGAGGUAGGGGUUGCGGGAAUUCUCGGUGUAGCGGUGAAAUGCGUAGAGAUCGUGAAGAACACAUGAGGCGGAAGCGCGCAACGGGGCCUCAACUGACGCUGAGGUACGAAAGCGAGGGGAGCGAAUGGG
rnacentral:rRNA from 1 species